AUUUUGACAAGGCUAAAUUUUUGCCGAUAUUUUCCGAACGGUUAGUCUGAGCGACUUGAUUCUUGCAAAUUUGGAUUCCGCCGGUCAUUCUAAGUAGAGUAUAGAAUGUUACUUCUGGGCCAGAACAUUUGGCGUCUUAAAAAACAAGUCAGAACCUUACAAAUUUAGCUGUUUGGCCAAAAGCAAACAACCGAAUAGGGCCUAAAACCUCUCAAAAAUCAUUAAUUUUUAUCCACCCCAAAAGUUCCCAAAUAUGUGUAGGCCACUAAAAGUUGGGCACACGAAAAACAGGGUAGAAUCCUACAAAUUUACUGUUUUCCCAAAAGUAACCAUCCGAAAAAGAUGUAAAAAACUUACAAAAUGCCUUGAUUUUAGACACUCCAAAAAUAGCUUUUCAUUUCUGGACCAAGCCAAUUGGCGCAUGCAAAAAUCAAGAAAAAUUACCUCAAAACCAUUGUCAAAAUGUCUAGAUUUCACACACCUCAAAACAGCUUUUCAUUUCUGGACCAAACCUAUUGGCGCAUGGAAAAAAUCAAUGAAAUACAACUUAAAGCGACUUAAAAUUUUCGACACUCCAAGUAAAAUUACUUUAAAAACCAGGAAAAACCUUUAUAAAUUCCCUAGUUUUUAGAUACCCCAAAAAUAUAGCUUUUCAUUUCUGGACCAAGCCAAUUGGCGCAUGGCAAAGGUGUUAAAAAUUAUUACCAAAUACAUUUUGCAUACCCCAACUGUAUUCAACUAUUAUACGCACAUAAAAGAGAUACACGUAAUACGCUCGAUCGUGCAGCGCUUAAUUUAAUAACGAAUAACGCAUUUAGACUUUUGAGCGUUUUUAUUAAACAGAAGAGGGUCGAUGGUCUAGCGUUGGUAUCCUUCAAAAAUAUGCUGACACAUCGGCCUACUCGUUUAAAAAACGGAUUAACUGUAAAAGCAUUUUUUUUCGUUAUAGAAAUUGUUCUUAUUCUUAUUGUAGUAUUCAACGAUAGGCAACCAACAAUAUCAUUAUUGUUACGUAAUUAUAAUUUGUUUUUGUAACACAACUUACUAAAUUUGAAGUUUUUUUUUUAAUUUUGUAAUUGUGAUACUAAAAAGGUUAUUAUAAAAAUAUUUAACCUUUAAGUUUAAUUCAAAACGAUAAUAUGGAUGGGGCCAUCUAGACCAGGAGCGCGCGCGGCGCUGUUUCGGUUGAUAAUUCAGUUUGCCUUUUUACUUGUCUGUUGCGUUGACCGUUGACAGUUGACAGUUAUGACACCGCAGCAGCAACUAACAAUUUUCAGUGCAUUACACGUUAUUCUACGGUGCAUCAUAGGUGUUUAAUCGUUGUUAAUAGAUUGCUUAUACCAACAUUACCCAGAUGGAUUACUUUGAAUCGGUCAGAUCAAACAUUGGACAGGAAAGCUUCAACCUCGUUCAGUUUCUAAAGAAUAGGUCUCCGCAUACACCAGUCAGCUGUAACAUGCACGAGUUGCACGUGGAUUCAUUAAGAAAUUGUGUUUUAUACAACAUUAUGCAACAGGGGUUGUACAUAUGUCCCGAGACAAGUAGGGACAUCAUUUCCUUUUUAGAGGAUGAUUUUAGCAAUUCUGUAAAAAAAAUAUACCUACAAGUUUUGGUUCAUUAUACCAAAUUAAACGUUCAUCAAGUGUACGAAACCUAUUCAAGUAAUUUUGAUAAAAGGCCAAGUGGUACUAAGACGAACAUUGAUAAUUACUUUGAUUCUCUGAUUAAAGAGUUUGUAUUAAAGGCACAGCAAGAAGAAGCAUAUAACGUGAUAAAAGUCACCUCUGAAGAGGAAAUACAAGUGGUUCGUACUGCAUUGUUGAGUCCCUCUAUACGGUCUGGUUUUCAAACUUGUUUGAAUGACAUUAUGGGAUUCUCCUGCACUGCUGAAUGGAUCAAAGUUAAAAUUGAGAAGAUGCAAAUUUACACCCUUGAUAAUUUUAAACCACUGGCAGGUUUACGUGGGGCAUGUCUUAUAGAUGGUAUUCUAAUAUGCAAAGGUCAAUUGGCUGAAGUCCCAGGCACAAAAAACUUUGAAGCUGAUGCAGUAACACUCGCAGCACAUGAGUGUGCCCAUUAUUUGGGGCGAAUGAUGGAUGGAAAUUUUAACUGGUCAACUCCAUUCGGAAAUAUUGCUGAAAGGCAACAAGACCUUGUAUUUCCAAGUAUAAACUUAGAAGCUGGAAGAACAAUGGAGCUGAUAAUUUUUGACAAGAUACAACCAGAUUGGCGCCAUUCAUCUGAAAAUUCCGCGAUACAGUUUUUAGAGAGACUAAAAGUUGUUGAAACGUGCCCAAUUCUCAGAGCAGAAGAACAUAACACACUUAAUUUAAAAAGUCGUAUUUGUUCGAUCGUAUCGUUUGGUAUUGAUAUUGAAAAUCAAUUUAUUGAUUUUUAUUAAGACUGAAGAACAUAUAAUUUAUUACGUAAAAUGUGUAAAAAGUCAGGGAAUUUUAUUAUUUUCUUUCAGGAAUUCUGUUUAGGAAAAUUUUGUAGUUUUAUUGGUCUUGGUAUUAUUUGGUCUAAUUAGUUUAUCGGGUGGUGUAAAACAAACAAAAUUAUUUCAUGCCAACUUUUCGUCAAGGGUGUAAAAUACAAAAUUAAUUUAUAAAUAUAAAAGAGGUGACAUAAAUUUACUUAUUAAAAAACAGUGUUGCUGCAAUGUUUGAACUUACCUAGAAAUGUUAUGUAUUUAAAGUUAAUAAAUGAAAUUAUUGAUAUUGUAAACAUUGGAGAGUAGUAUGUUGAUGGAGAGGUGAACCUAAUGUUUGUUAUAGUGUUGUAAAGUAGCAUGCUAUUUAUUUUAUGCUGAUAUAUAUCAAGAUAAAUAUUAUGAUACUUAUCUUUCAGUUUUUGUUAAAAAAAAGUCACAAAUUGCUAAUUUUUUAUUUUUCUGCAAUUGUCCCUUUAAUUUAAUACCAAAUACAUAGUAUAAAAUUAUAAAAUUACUAAAAAAUAGAUCAAUAUUAAUAUAUUACUUAUUUUAGUUAUUUUACUGAACACCUAGACUUGUUGAUAAUUGAAAUCUGGAUGGUGGAUCGUAUGAUGGAUGCAAAUAAUUAAGAAAUUUUUGGAAAUAUUUGUUUUCCACCAAUGACAACGGUGAACAGGUAUCAAACAUUGCUCGUGCUAGUAAAAUAUUAGCUUUGAUGUUUUCCUCUUUUGUCAUCUUGUCUAAAAAAUUUCCAAUGCUUAUUGCUGAUGCUGAUGCAUACUAGUACUACUAGCAAUGCUAGAUGUUACCUGUACCUGUCAAUAUUUAUAAUUAUUAAUACGUUGUAAGUUGACACUGUGAUGAUUCUUACCUUUUUACAGUUUUUUUGUGUAUUUUUCAAAUUUUUUUCAAACAAACUUUUUACUUCGGCAGGUGCUUGACAGUGGUUUUCCAUCCCUAGUGGAUUUGCAAUAAAAGUUUUUUUUACAAAAUAUAAAUAUAUUUAUCCUUUUUGUAUCUUCUAAAAUAUUUCCACACUAUGUGCUUGUGACGUCCCAUGCUUUUAUCACUAUGCACUCUAAUGUAUGUGUUCUAAAUUAUUGCAUCAACAAAAGCCGAUUAAUUAAGAUGGAAAAAACUGAUAAACUUUCAAAAAUAUAUUUUAUAUUUGUUUCCUUAUUUUCCCUUUGACAGAUUAGUUUAGUAAACGUAUCAUGUAUCAGCAUCAUAAGUAUCAGACUCACAUCACUAGUUUGUUAUAAAUUUGUAUUUACAAAUUAUACAUUUUUAUGCCUUUGUUUAUUUUUAACUUUCCCGAUAGGGAAGUUAAUACUUAUAUCAAUUAUAUCGCAUUUAUAUCGUUUUGCAUUAAACUUUAUUAUAAAAAUA